GGGCCACUGGGUGGCAAGGCCAGGAGGAGCAGCUGGGUCUGCACAGGGUGACACCGUGCAGUGGUGGUGACGCUGAGCAGGGCCUGCAGGAGGCACUGAGCUUCAAAAGGAAACUUGCUCAGUCACAAUAAGAGGAUAAGCAACUUCUGCAACCUGCUGGCUUUUGGCCAUGUCCCCCGAGAAAGACUGAGAGGAACUGCUCCCUCCCCACAGGCUCACCGCACCCUGGGGUGUCCUUCCCAAGCCCAAGCUGGACACACGUCCCCAGUUGCUGCCUGGAGGGGAGGGAGCUUGGCAAGGGGUUGGGAUGUGGCUCUGAAGAUCCACCUGACACCCGUGCCCUGGUUUAGGGGAUCCUAGCUCAGCCUGUCUUAGGCAGCCUUGGAAAAGACACAUGCAACUUGCUAUUUCUCCAGGUGCUGCAUCUGGGAUGUGGAUGCCGUAAUCAUUUGGGAGGC